rnacentral:lncRNA from 1 species
GGUUUCACAAAUGAGCAGAUCAAGGGUUCUCCAGGAAGACCUGCCAUGCAUAGACACCUCUACAUUAGUGCAGUCAAGGAUCAGGAAACCCCUUUCUAAUUUGAGCAACACACAUAUGAAGGAAUAAUCCGAUGUACUGCUGCAAAGUGUCUUCAGCCAAUUUAGACAAGAACAACUCUUAAAUUAUUUUUGGUGAAGAAAGUUAAUCACUGAACAAUUUGAGGUGAAUGGAAGUUCGCUAUUCCUCUACAACCUUUUACCAGGUUAUAAUGAAAUUGAGUCCACUGAGGAAGGAAAAAGUUAGUUUCACUUGACUAAGUUCCCACAUGGAUUAAGCAGCAGACCCAAGACCAAGACCAGAACGCAAUCCACUCUUUGAUGAGAACAUACUUGGAUAUGACCUAUGCUAUUUUGAAUGAAAUUUAGCAAGGAAGAACUGUCCAUCAAUCAUUUUAACCAAGUUCACCUUUUGUUGCCAUUUAAGUUUAAUUUUGUCCCAGGAAAUUCAUAGUGAGUGAUUGUGAUUACAUUUUCCUCAUUUUCAUGCCUCUGACAUUCUUGUUGAAGAUGCUAAUCUUGUAUAAAGCUGUCUUUGGAGUUGAUGAUGCUGACACUUCUCACUCCUAUGGGAAAUGGAGAGAUGUGGUGCAUAAAAUAGAAUAAAAUGUAUUAGAGCAAAAUAAAACUGCUAAUAAGAGUAAUCACUGUAAUAGAUUUUAAAAUCAUUUUAAAUCUAGUUUUAAUUACCUAAAUCCAUCUCAGAAUUACUACUGAUGUGAUGAGAAAUUCAUAAAUUCUGUGCAAAUUGAAAACAGAAAUUACAUUGUUUAUUAAAAUACUACUUUACUACCCCAUCUCUAUAUUAUCAUAUAUGUAAAUUUACGCAUGUAUACAUAAAUUAUACAUUUAUACAUAUAAACUUGAAUUUAUCAGAACUACUCAAUUUCAUCUCCUGGUUAAUAAUUUAGUAUGCAUUAACCUUCAGUAUUCACAUCAAGAUACAUUCUCCUCUCAAACAUGAUAAAACGAAAGCGUUCUAAGAUUAUACAGAGUGUGUUUUCUAAACAAAAUUCGCUUCUCGUUUUAGAAAGUUGAUGUCAUCAAGGCAUCACCAUCAAAUUUAACUUCUCUACUUUUCUUUAGAUAAAAAUAGAGAAGAAAGCUUUCUAAGUGUGUCAGUCUAAGAAAAACUUUAAUUAGAAUCUCUGGCUGUUGUUUAGGUUGCAUUCUACAACUUAUUUCAGCUUGACAGUAGGCAGGAGACUUCCCCUUCAAUUUUAGGUCGAAGCCAGAAUAAAAAGUGCUUUAGAAAAAGAAAAAACUGGUUUCUGUUCUCCUAAUUCCCUUCUGCCCAUAAAACGAAUCUAUGCAGGAUAUUUGCAAUAGCAUCUCAAACCCACCUGGCUCUUCUGUAUUUCUUACUUGAAGACAUCAGAUGGCUGACUCCACAGGAGCCUGUGGUGGAUCAGAGUGGAAAACUGCAACCUGAGAGGAUUGAGGGAAACCUUACAGAGCCCCUGGGGUAGUGGUCAGGUUGGAGGUUUCACAUACUCUAAAUGAGAGUUGUCUUUAUUUUGCUGCUCAAAUCUGGUGGGCUUUCUUGCCAAUGAGUUUGCUAUGGACUCAAAACAUUGUUAUUUUGCCUGAACAAUCUCUGUGGUUAAUGGUUGUUGUUAGAUAUUGCAUGAACCUUGGGUUUGAAACUCAAGAUAGACUCCUGUGGAUUCUCAAUUUUCCUUUUAGUUAAGAGUAGAAGACCUUCAAUUUAUCCAGAAAUGUGGUUGAGCUGUCAAAAUGCCUGGUCUGAAAAUGGAUAGGCCUAUGGCCAGGAACUUGCUGACAAGGAAACCUAUAGUUGCAGGGCUCAAAACUUCUCAGAUGAUAGGCUAUGGGAAGAAGUCAGAGGGUUCAUUCAGAAGCUCCAGCUACAGAUAGAAAACGCUACUCACGAAGAGGUAGCUCAACCUCCUAACUGAUGUCAUUGUCUCCACUGGAGUAAUCGUCCUCAAAUGCAGUAUCAAUCACGCUACUCCCUUGCUGAAGAUAUUCAGUAACCAGACCCACUCUUAACACAUUGCAGGGCCUGGGGCAAGAGUACAGAUGGAUACCCACAACAUAGAGUUAAAUCUAUACAAACUAUAAAUCAAUAUAACAAGCUGAUAAACAGAAUAUGUCCCCCUUCUGUGAAAAAUAUGCCUCCAUACUGAAAAAAUCUCAACAUACAUGUAAAGCUAUGCUUGUUGCAGGAAUGUGGUUAGGGACAAAGUAAAAAUAACUAAACUGUAUUAUUGUACAUUUCUGAGUAUUCUUUUUAGAGUCUGAUGAUGUUAAAAUGAAAAGUAAGUCACAAAAAUGUAUUUGUGAUUAUAUAUUCUGUAAUAUCAAUUUUAGAAAAAUUACUAAUUAUGUCAUGUUGAAGAUGUGUAUAUAAUUAAUGUUCUAGAGAUAAUAACGAUAUAAAAGAUUGAAAGUAUUCAAAGUAUACAAAACUGGAAUAUAUUUUCAUUGAAGAUGUAAAUUAAAUGUAAAAAAGUUAUUGUUCAUAUUUUCAAAAUCUUUUCUUUCAAAAUAUUCAAAAUUGCCUAUAAAAUUAAAAGGCAAAAGACAAAUCAUUAUAAAUCAAAAUAUUAAAUAAAAUAUUUCAAAGUAAAGUUUAAAUUUUUAUAAUGUUUAAGAAUUAAAUCUUUUGAUAUAAAUAAAGCCAU